UACAUGCAAGUCGAGCGAGAAAGUUUCUUCGGAAAUGAGUAAAGCGGCGAACGGGUGAGUAACGCGUAGGAAUCUACCAUUCAGCGGGGGAUAGCUCGAGGAAACUCGAAUUAAUACCGCAUACACCCUACGGGGGAAAGAAGGCCUCUCCUUGGAAGCUUUCACUGUUUGAUGAGCCUGCGUGAGAUUAGUUUGUUGGUGAGGUAAUGGCUCACCAAGACUACGAUCUCUAGCUGGUCUGAGAGGACGAUCAGCCACACUGGGACUGAGACACGGCCCAGACUCCUACGGGAGGCAGCAGUAGAGAAUAUUGGACAAUGGGGGCAACCCUGAUCCAGGCAUGCCGCGUGUGUGAAGAAGGCCUUAGGGUUGUAAAGCACUUUAGGUAAGGAAGAAAAGUUAAUAGUUAAUACCUGUUGACCGUGACAUUACUUACAGAAUAAGGACCGGCUAACUCCGUGCCAGCAGCCGCGGUAAUACGGAGGGUCCAAGCGUUAAUCGGAAUUACUGGGCGUAAAGCGCGCGUAGGCGGUAUGCUAAGUUGGGUGUGAAAUCCCCGGGCUUAACCUGGGAACUGCAUUCAAAACUUGCAUACUGGAGUACGGAAGAGGCGAGUAGAAUUCAUGGUGUAGCGGUGAAAUGCGUAGAUAUCAUGAGGAAUACCAAUGGCGAAGGCAACUCGCUGGUCCGUAACUGACGCUGAGGUGCGAAAGCGUGGGUAGCAAACAGGAUUAGAUACCCUGGUAGUCCACGCCGUAAACGAUGAGAACUAGCCGUUGGAUCCUUGAGAUUCAGUGGCACAGCUAACGCAUUAAGUUCUCCGCC
rnacentral:rRNA from 1 species